UACGUAGGGUGCGAGCGGUAAUCGGAAGUACUGGGCGUAAAGCGUGCGCAGGCGGUUUUGUUAGCCAGACGUGAAAUCCCCGGGCUCAACCUGGGAAGGGCGUUUGGGACUGCAAGGCUGGAGUGUGGCAGAGGGGACUAGAAUUCCUGGUGUAGCAGUGAAAUGCGUAGAUAUCAGGAGGAAUACCGAUGGCGAAGGCAAGUCCCUAGGCUAACACUGACGCUCAUGCACGAAAGCGUGGGGAGCAAACAGG
rnacentral:rRNA from 1 species